rnacentral:lncRNA from 1 species
NAUCAUGCUCAUCAUGCAUUCUUUACUUUUCUUGCAUUUACUCUAUGCAUUGUUAUUAACAUGCAUUUACUUUACAUCAUGCAUCAUUGUUAACUUGCAUCCUUUACUUAGCCUUUACUUUAUGCAUAUUUAUUAAUGCAUCAUUUAGUCUUGUCUACAUGCACAUGCAUCAACGUGAGAUUACAUUGCUAAGACAUAAUGAGCGACCUAGUCGCUUCGGUAAGCACAACCCACCUUGAUUCGCGUUCCGAUUGCUUGUCGACACUUACAAUCGGCCUCCCGCGGCACUCGGCAC